CAGUCGUGCCGGCGGGGAUUCAGCGAACUUCGCGGAGUGAGCGUAUUUCCUCGCAUGGCAGGUCAGCGUCAGUUUUGCGCGUCGUGAAAGGGCUCGGGUAAGGUGACUCUCUUCGGGGAGUGCUAUAGACCUGAGCAGAUGCGAUGCGCGGGACUGAGGAUUGCAGCGGACACCCUUCGGGGGCGCGGCGACCGAUCCCUGCUCCGUCACCUUCGUCCGAUAGCGUGCUAACGGUCGAGGGAGCGGCGGUUGCACCGGGUUGGCAAGCCGGCGGCU
rnacentral:rRNA from 1 species